rnacentral:rRNA from 1 species
GGUUAAUGAGGCGAACCGGGGGAACUGAAACAUCUAAGUACCCCGAGGAAAAGAAAUCAACCGAGAUUCCCCCAGUAGCGGCGAGCGAACGGGGAGGAGCCCAGAGCCUGAAUCAGUGUGUGUGUUAGUGGAAGCGUCUGGAAAGGCGCGCGAUACAGGGUGACAGCCCCGUACACAAAAAUGCACAUGCUGUGAGCUCGAUGAGUAGGGCGGGACACGUGGUAUCCUGUCUGAAUAUGGGGGGACCAUCCUCCAAGGCUAAAUACUCCUGACUGACCGAUAGUGAACCAGUACCGUGAGGGAAAGGCGAAAAGAACCCCGGCGAGGGGAGUGAAAAAGAACCUGAAACCGUGUACGUACAAGCAGUGGGAGCCUCUUUAUGGGGUGACUGCGUACCUUUUGUAUAAUGGGUCAGCGACUUAUAUUCUGUAGCAAGGUUAACCGAAUAGGGGAGCCGAAGGGAAACCGAGUCUUAACUGGGCGUUAAGUUGCAGGGUAUAGACCCGAAACCCGGUGAUCUAGCCAUGGGCAGGUUGAAGGUUGGGUAACACUAACUGGAGGACCGAACCGACUAAUGUUGAAAAAUUAGCGGAUGACUUGUGGCUGGGGGUGAAAGGCCAAUCAAACCGGGAGAUAGCUGGUUCUCCCCGAAAGCUAUUUAGGUAGCGCCUCGUGAAUUCAUCUCCGGGGGUAGAGCACUGUUUCGGCAAGGG